CAGUAGCCGCGGUAAUACGAAGGGGGCUAGCGUUGCUCGGAAUGACUGGGCGUAAAGGGCGCGUAGGCGGCGAUCAAAGUCAGGCGUGAAAUUCCUGGGCUCAACCUGGGGGCUGCGCUUGAUACUUGGUUGCUUGAGUGGGGAAGAGGGUCGUGGAAUUCCCAGUGUAGAGGUGAAAUUCGUAGAUAUUGGGAAGAACACCGGUGGCGAAGGCGGCGACCUGGUCCUUGACUGACGCUGAGGCGCGAAAGCGUGGGGAGCAAACAGGAUUAGAUACCCCAGUAGUCCCUGUCUCUUAUAC
rnacentral:rRNA from 1 species